GAUGAACGCUAGCUACAGGCUUAACACAUGCAAGUCGAGGGGCAGCGGGUUGAAAGCUUGCUUUCAAUGCCGGCGACCGGCGCACGGGUGCGUAACGCGUAUCAAACCUGCCUCAUACUCGGGGAUAGCCUUGCGAAAGUAAGAUUAAUACCCGAUGUUGUUGCUUUCUCGCAUGGGAGAGUAACCAAAGAUUUAUCGGUAUGAGAUGGUGAUGCGUCCGGUUAGGUAGUAGGCGGGGUAACGGCCCACCUAGCCUUCGAUCGGUAGGGGUUCUGAGAGGAAGGUCCCCCACACUGGAACUGAGACACGGUCCAGACUCCUACGGGAGGCAGCAGUGAGGAAUAUUGGUCAAUGGGCGAGAGCCUGAACCAGCCAAGUAGCGUGCAGGAUGACGGCCCUCCGGGUUGUAAACUGCUUUUAGUUGGGAAUAAAAAAAGGGACUUGUCCCUUCUGGUAU
rnacentral:rRNA from 2 species